rnacentral:rRNA from 1 species
AGUCGAGCGGUAACAGGGGGUGCUUGCACCCCGCUGACGAGCGGCGGACGGGUGAGUAAUGCAUAGGAAUCUGCCCGAUAGUGGGGGAUAACCUGGGGAAACCCAGGCUAAUACCGCAUACGUCCUACGGGAGAAAGGGGGCUCCGGCUCCCGCUAUCGGAUGAGCCUAUGUCGGAUUAGCUAGUUGGUGAGGUAAAGGCUCACCAAGGCGACGAUCCGUAGCUGGUCUGAGAGGAUGAUCAGCCACAUCGGGACUGAGACACGGCCCGAACUCCUACGGGAGGCAGCAGUGGGGAAUAUUGGACAAUGGGGGGAACCCUGAUCCAGCCAUGCCGCGUGUGUGAAGAAGGCCCUCGGGUUGUAAAGCACUUUCAGUGAGGAAGAACGCCUGGUGGUUAAUACCCAUCAGGAAAGACAUCACUCACAGAAGAAGCACCGGCUAACUCCGUGCCAGCAGCCGCGGUAAUACGGAGGGUGCGAGCGUUAAUCGGAAUUACUGGGCGUAAAGCGCGCGUAGGUGGCUUGAUAAGCCGGUUGUGAAAGCCCCGGGCUCAACCUGGGAACGGCAUCCGGAACUGUCAAGCUAGAGUGCAGGAGAGGAAGGUAGAAUUCCCGGUGUAGCGGUGAAAUGCGUAGAGAUCGGGAGGAAUACCAGUGGCGAAGGCGGCCUUCUGGACUGACACUGACACUGAGGUGCGAAAGCGUGGGUAGCAAACAGGAUUAGAUACCCUGGUAGUCCACGCCGUAAACGAUGUCGACCAGCCGUUGGGUGCCUAGCGCACUUUGGUGGCGAAGUUAACGCGAUAAGUCGACCGCCUGGGGAGUACGGCCGCAAGGUAAAACUCAAAUGAAUUGACGGGGGCCCGCACAAGCGGUGGAACAUGUGGGUUAAUUCGAUGCAACGCGAAGAACCUUACCUACUCUUGACAUCCUGGCAAUUUGGUAGAGAUACCUUA